rnacentral:lncRNA from 1 species
UCUCGUCGUCUGGUUGCUACCUUCGUCGAAGGUUCGGCCAUCCCUCGACUACGAUCCAUCGCUCAUCUCGCGCUCGGCAGGAGGACUGAGUUCGUCUCGCGCCCGGCAGCAGGACUGACCUUGUCUCGUGCCCGACAACAGGACCGACCUCGUCUCGCGCCCGGCAGCAGGAUCAUGCUCGUCUUGCGCCCGACACUAGGACCAUGCUCAUCUCGCGCCCGGCAGCAGGGCGUGUCGAUGGAGGCCAAUUUUGGCCGGCCUCUGGGUUUCAGCGUUGGGGGCAGCCCAGGGGUGUGAAAGGCGGUUCCUUUCCGCUCGUAUCUUCGGUUGGGGUAGCGGCGGGUCACGGGUGAGGUGGUGUCGAGGUCUUGGAUGCUGGGGCGCCGGCCCUGGUGGUGGUGGUUGCGCGGUGCUCUUGGACAAAGCCCGUGCCUUGGUGCUGCCCGGUCACCAUGGUCGUGUGGGCGGCGUGGUUGCCGGGGUGUGGCGUUCGGUGGCGGUGAUUGUGGGCCGAGGUGAAAAUCUGCUCUAUCUUCAGACGGACCGGCGGCGGCGAAGAUCAUUCCCUUCUUGAAGGCAUCGUCGCGGCUCUCAUUGCCCGUCAUGCGGCUCCGGGGGAAACUCUGAUCCUUGGAUCGGGCGGUGGCGGCGCUCCAGCGUCGUAUCCUUCCUGAAGGCGCUGCCUUGGAGCGCAUGGUUCGUCAUAUGUAGCUUCAUUUCUUCGGGGCGGUAGUGCUAGGAGUGGUGUUGCUGCGCUCAGCGCCUAUGUAUCCUGUCUUGGGGGUGUGCGUGUGUUGCGGUGGCGUGGCGUGUGGUUGUACUGGAUGCUUGUGGUUUCGUGCUUUAUAUAUAAAGCGGGGCGAAAGACUUUUUCGGUAUAAAACUUUAUUUACCACACUAAGCAAAUCACAAUGUAUUAUAUUAUUGAUUGAGUUAAAUAGAAAUGUAUCCCUAACAUUUUUUG